rnacentral:rRNA from 1 species
UACAGAGGGGGCAAGCGUUAUUCGGAAUUAUUGGGCGUAAAGGGCGCGUAGGCGGCCUGGCAAGUGGAAGGUGAAAUCCCUCGGCUUAACCGAGGAACUGCCCUCCAAACUGCUUGGCUUGAGUCCGGGAGAGGUGAGUGGAAUUCCCAGUGUAGCGGUGAAAUGCGUAGAUAUUGGGAGGAACACCAGUGGCGAAGGCGGCUCACUGGACCGGAACUGACGCUGAGGCGCGAAAGCGUAGGGAGCAAACGGG